rnacentral:rRNA from 1 species
GUGAUCUAGCCAUGGGCAGGUUGAAGGUUGGGUAACACUAACUGGAGGACCGAACCGACUAAUGUUGAAAAAUUAGCGGAUGACUUGUGGCUGGGGGUGAAAGGCCAAUCAAACCGGGAGAUAGCUGGUUCUCCCCGAAAGCUAUUUAGGUAGCGCCUCGUGAAUUCAUCUCCGGGGGUAGAGCACUGUUUCGGCAAGGGGGUCAUCCCGACUUACCAACCCGAUGCAAACUGCGAAUACCGGAGAAUGUUAUCACGGGAGACACACGGCGGGUGCUAACGUCCGUCGUGAAGAGGGAAACAACCCAGACCGCCAGCUAAGGUCCCAAAGUCAUGGUUAAGUGGGAAACGAUGUGGGAAGGCCCAGACAGCCAGGAUGUUGGCUUAGAAGCAGCCAUCAUUUAAAGAAAGCGUAAUAGCUCACUGGUCGAGUCGGCCUGCGCGGAAGAUGUAACGGGGCUAAACCAUGCACCGAAGCUGCGGCAGCGACGCUGAUGCGUUGUUGGGUAGGGGAGCGUUCUGUAAGCCUGUGAAGGUGUGCUGUGAGGCAUGCUGGAGGUAUCAGAAGUGCGAAUGCUGACAUAAGUAACGAUAAAGCGGGUGAAAAGCCCGCUCGCCGGAAGACCAAGGGUUCCUGUCCAACGUUAAUCGGGGCAGGGUGAGUCGACCCCUAAGGCGAGGCCGAAAGGCGUAGUCGAUGGGAAACAGGUUAAUAUUCCUGUACUUGGUGUUACUGCGAAGGGGGGACGGAGAAGGCUAUGUUGGCCGGGCGACGGUUGUCCCGGUUUAAGCGUGUAGGCUGGUUUUCCAGGCAAAUCCGGAAAAUCAAGGCUGAGGCGUGAUGACGAGGCACUACGGUGCUGAAGCAACAAAUGCCCUGCUUCCAGGAAAAGCCUCUAAGCAUCAGGUAACAUCAAAUCGUACCCCAAACCGACACAGGUGGUCAGGUAGAGAAUACCAAGGCGCUUGAGAGAACUCGGGUGAAGGAACUAGGCAAAAUGGUGCCGUAACUUCGGGAGAAGGCACGCUGAUAUGUAGGUGAAGCGACUUGCUCGUGGAGCUGAAAUCAGUCGAAGAUACCAGCUGGCUGCAACUGUUUAUUAAAAACACAGCACUGUGCAAACACGAAAGUGGACGUAUACGGUGUGACGCCUGCCCGGUGCCGGAAGGUUAAUUGAUGGGGUCAGCGCAAGCGAAGCUCUUGAUCGAAGCCCCGGUAAACGGCGGCCGUAACUAUAACGGUCCUAAGGUAGCGAAAUUCCUUGUCGGGUAAGUUCCGACCUGCACGAAUGGCGUAAUGAUGGCCAGGCUGUCUCCACCCGAGACUCAGUGAAAUUGAACUCGCUGUGAAGAUGCAGUGUACCCGCGGCAAGACGGAAAGACCCCGUGAACCUUUACUAUAGCUUGACACUGAACAUUGAGCCUUGAUGUGUAGGAUAGGUGGGAGGCUUUGAAGUGUGGACGCCAGUCUGCAUGGAGCCGGCCUUGAAAUACCACCCUUUAAUGUUUGAUGUUCUAACGUUGACCCGUGAUCCGGGUUGCGGACAGUGUCUGGUGGGUAGUUUGACUGGGGCGGUCUCCUCCUAAAGAGUAACGGAGGAGCACGAAGGUUGGCUAAUCCUGGUCGGACAUCAGGAGGUUAGUGCAAUGGCAUAAGCCAGCUUGACUGCGAGCGUGACGGCGCGAGCAGGUGCGAAAGCAGGUCAUAGUGAUCCGGUGGUUCUGAAUGGAAGGGCCAUCGCUCAACGGAUAAAAGGUACUCCGGGGAUAACAGGCUGAUACCGCCCAAGAGUUCAUAUCGACGGCGGUGUUUGGCACCUCGAUGUCGGCUCAUCACAUCCUGGGGCUGAAGUAGGUCCCAAGGGUAUGGCUGUUCGCCAUUUAAAGUGGUACGCGAGCUGGGUUUAGAACGUCGUGAGACAGUUCGGUCCCUAUCUGCCGUGGGCGCUGGAGAACUGAGGGGGGCUGCUCCUAGUACGAGAGGACCGGAGUGGACGCAUCACUGGUGUUCGGGUUGUCAUGCCAAUGGCACUGCCCGGUAGCUAAAUGCGGAAGAGAUAAGUGCUGAAAGCAUCUAAGCACGAAACUUGCCCCGAGAUGAGUUCUCCCUGACUCCUUGAGAGUCCUGAAGGAACGUUGAAGACGACGACGUUGAUAGGCCGGGUGUGUAAGCGCAGCGAUGCGUUGAGCUAACCGGUACUAAUGAACCGUGAGG